GACGACGCUGGCGGCGUGCCUAACACAUGCAAGUCGAGCGAGUGGAUCUCCUUCGGGAGAGAAGCUAGCGGCGGACGGGUGAGUAACACGUGGGCAACCUGCCUCAUAGAGGGGAAUAGCCUCCCGAAAGGGAGAUUAAUACCGCAUAAGAUUGUAGCUUCGCAUGAAGUAGCAAUUAAAGGAGCAAUCCGCUAUGAGAUGGGCCCGCGGCGCAUUAGCUAGUUGGUGAGGUAACGGCUCACCAAGGCGACGAUGCGUAGCCGACCUGAGAGGGUGAUCGGCCACAUUGGGACUGAGACACGGCCCAGACUCCUACGGGAGGCAGCAGUGGGGAAUAUUGCACAAUGGGGGAAACCCUGAUGCAGCAACGCCGCGUGAGUGAUGACGGCCUUCGGGAUGUAAAGCUCUGUCUUCAGGGACGAUAAUGACGGUACCUGAGGAGGAAGCCACGGCUAACUACGUG
rnacentral:rRNA from 1 species